AUAUACCUUUGUGGGUGAGGUGGCACGUUCGCCCCGUCCUCGAGACGGGGCCGACUAACAAUAACUGUCCCUAUCUACUAUCUAGCGAAACCACUGCCAAGGGAACGGGCUUGGAAAAAUUAGCGGGGAAAGAAGACCCUGUUGAGCUUGACUCUAGUCUGGCACUGUAAGGAGACAUGAGAGGUGUAGCAUAAGUGGGAGAUGGCAACAUCGCCGGUGAAAUACCACUACUUUCAUCGUUUCCUUACUUACUCGGUUAGGCGGAGCGCGUGCCCCGAGGGCUUCGUGCCCCGGCGGUCACGGUGUUCUAGAGCCAAGCGUGUCAGAGUGGCGUGAGGCCUCGGCCGAUCGCCGUUGAUACUCCCGCGUGAUCCGAUUCGAGGACAUUGCCAGGCGGGGAGUUUGCCUGGGGCGGUACAUCUGUCAAAGAAUAACGCAGGUGUCCUAAGGCCAGCUCAGCGAGGACAGAAACCUCGCGUAGAGCAAAAGGGCAAAAGCUGGCUUGAUCUCGAUGUUCAGUACGCAUAGAGACUGCGAAAGCACGGCCUAUCGAUCCUUUUGGCUUGAAGAGCUUGAAGCUCAACAGGGUCUUCUUUCCCCGCUAAUUUUUCCAAGCCCGUUCCCUUGGCAGUGGUUUCGCUAGAUAGUAGAUAGGGACAGUUAUUGUUAGUCGGCCCCGUCUCGAGGACGGGGCGAACAUGCCACCUCACCCACAAAGGUAUAUGCCACAGACUAACUUUUCCAUCCAGCCAAACCGCCCCGAGAAAGGGCGAUGGAAAAACCAAGCAGCGCCUGCAUGGCGGUUCUGCAGGAAUGAGCAGUUCUGCCACGACACGUCUCGAGUCCUAUGUUCUCGAGGCGCCUCGCGCCCACGGGGAACCGCGGGGAGGCCCACUCAUUUGCGCCUCGUCCCUAGACGCACGCCCUGACCCUGUAAUAAAUGUGUCGUUUGUUAGUUUAUUUUAUUUUAUUUCCCUAAACUGCUCGAUGCUGUGUGCUUUCCGUGAAGAGUACGGCUUCCUUAUCAGGGGUAUUCCUGUGAUGAGAUACAGGUCUUUCCUGGCUAGGAUUCCCAUUUCCAGAGUGCAAGCCUUCUCUGGUGAGCAGUUCCAGAAUCUAGUCCUCUCUUUGAGGUUGCUUUAACCACAAUGAUUCUUUAGAGAAUGCAACGAGUGUUUGAAAUGUUUCGGCGUUUGAUACUAAGAAUUGUAUCACCGAAGGCAAUUUCCAUUCGUUGUGGGCAACCAUCUCCCUUAGAGCAACUCUUUGAGCCUCAAAUUCUGAGCACUCUAAGAUAAAGUGCCAGACUGUGUCCUCCUUAGCUCCACACUCGCAUGAGCUAUUUUUGAUAAGCCCUAACUGUGAAAGUUUCGCAUGGAAGUUGCCAUGUCCAGUUAGAAUCUGCGUGGACCAGUAG
rnacentral:ncRNA from 1 species